GAUGAAGAACGCAGCGAAAUGCGAUAAGUAAUGUGGAUUGCAGAAUUCAGUGAAUCAUCGAAUCUUUGAACGCACAUUGCGCCCGCCAGUAUUCUGGCGGGCAUGCCUGUUCGAGCGUCAUUACAACCCUCAGGCCCCCGGGCCUGGCGUUGGGGAUCGGCGGAGCCCCCCGUGGGCACACGCCGUCCCCCAAAUACAGUGGCGGUCCCGCCGCAGCUUCCAUCGCGUAGUAGCUAACACCUCGCGACUGGAGAGCGGCGCGGCCACGCCGUAAAACACCCAACUCUUCUGAAGUUGACCUCGAAUCAGGUAGGAAUACCCGCUGAACUUAAGCAUAUCAAUAAGCGGAGGA
rnacentral:misc_RNA from 1 species